AUAAAUAAGAAGCUUUAAUGCAUUUAAUUUCGACUUAAAAGAUUGAGUUAUUACUCCUUAUUUAUAUAUAUAUAUAUAUAUAUAGG
rnacentral:tRNA from 1 species